ensembl:lncRNA
CCACAUUUAGUCUCCAUAGUUCUUUCUCUCUCUGGAUCCUAAUAGCUCUUUCCAUUUUAUUAGAAUUGUCUUCGAUCAUCUCAUUGUUGAAGAGAGCCACGUCCAUCACAGUUGAUCAUCACAUAAUCUUGUUGCUGUGUACAAUGUUCUCCUGGUUCUACUCACUUCACUUAUCAUCAGUUCAUGUAAUUCUUUCCAGGCCUCUGAAAUCAUCCUGCUGGUUGUUUCUUACAGAACAAUAAUAUUCCAUAACAUUCACAUACCAUAACUUGUUCAGCCAUUCCCCAAAUGAUGGGCAUCCACUCAGUUUCCAGUUCUUUGACAUUACAAAAAGGCCUGCCACAAACAUUUUUGUAUGUGUGAUUUGUUUCCCCUUUUUAUGACCUCUUUGGGAUACAGACCCACUAGAGACAUGGCUGGAUCAAAGGGUAGGCAGAGUUUUGUAGCCCUUUUGGGUAUAGUUCCAAAUUGUUCUCCAGAAUGGCUAAAUCAAUUAAAACACCAACAGUGCAUUAGUGUCCCAGUUUUCCACGUCCCCUCCAACAUCAUUAUUCAAAAGCCCCUUGUGACUAUUUUUGAGAGAAGGGAGAUAAAUUUUUUUACAUUUAAGAAAUGUAAUUAUUUCCUAUACCUUUAUCUGUCUAAAAAAGUCACAGAACUUUGUAAUGCUACCUUCUAAAAAGGAAACCUUGAAAAAUUUAAAUUAAAAAAAAAAAGGAAGAAUUGUCAAAAUCCAAGAGAUUUUCUCUAUCCCAGGAUGGAGAAAGAAAAAAACAAGCAAACAAUGACAACAAAAAAGGUGAGAAUACUAUGUUGUGAUCCACUUUCAGGCCCCAUGAUUCUCUCAGGAUGUAGAUGUCUCUUUCCAUCACAAGUCUAUUGGAUGUGGCCUGAAUCACCACGUUGUUGAAAAGAGCCAUGUCCAUCAAAGUCGAUCAUUAUAUAACCUUCUUGUUGCCAUGUACAAUAUUUCCCUAGUUCUAGUCACUUAGCAUCAGUUCAUGUAAGACUCUCCAAGCUUCUCAAAAAUCAUUCUGUUGAUUGUUUCUUACAGAAAAUAACAUUCCAUUACAUUCAUAUACCAUAAUUUAUUCAGACAUUCUCCAACUGAUGGGCAAUCAUUCAGUUUCCAGUUUCUUGCCACUACAAAGAGGGCUGCCACAAACAUUUUUGCACAAGUGAGUCCCUUUCCCUCCUUUAUGAUCUCUUUGGGAUAUAAGUCCAGUAGAAACACUGCUGGAUCAAAGGGUCUGCACAGUUUGACAGCCCUUUGGGCAUAGUUCCAAAUUAAAGGUCUCACUUUUCAAACACAGAGGGAACUGAAUCAAAUUUGUAAAAAAAAGAAGAGCCAUGCCCCAACUGAUAAGUGACCAAAAGUUUUUUUGCCAAAGGGCUAUAAAUUCAUAUGAACAAAACAUUUAUACCAUCUCUCUUCUCGGGAAAAAAUUAGAAAUUGAUGAAAGAAUGCAAAUCAAUUGUGAAUGGCUGAAUAAAUUUUGGUGUUUUUGUGAUGGAAUAUUAUUGUUCUAUGGGAAAUGAUGAGCAGGAUGCUCUCAGAAAAAAAAAACAAACCUGAAAAGUCCUCCAAAAAAAACCUGAAAAGUCCUCCAUGAACUCAAGCAAAGUAAAACGUACUGUACACAAAUAGCAAUAUUUUGGAAUGACCAGGUGUAAAUGACUUUGUUAUUUAUUCUUACUACUCUGAAGGAUUUGAUGAAAAAUCUUAUCCAUACUCAGAAGGAAUUGAUGUCUGAAUAAAGAUUGAAG